rnacentral:rRNA from 1 species
CAAAGGAAUUGACGGGGGCCCGCACAAGCGGCGAGCAUGUGGCUUAAUUCGACGCAACGCGAAGAACCUUACCAAGGCUUGACAUACACCGGAAAACCCUGGAGACAGGGUCCCCCUUGUGGUCGGUGUACAGGUGGUGCAUGGCUGUCGUCAGCUCGUGUCGUGAGAUGUUGGGUUAAGUCCCGCAACGAGCGCAACCCUUGUCCCGUGUUGCCAGCAGGCCCUUGUGGUGCUGGGGACUCACGGGAGACCGCCGGGGUCAACUCGGAGGAAGGUGGGGACGACGUCAAGUCAUCAUGCCCCUUAUGUCUUGGGCUGCACACGUGCUACAAUGGCCGGUACAAUGAGCUGCGAUACCGCGAGGUGGAGCGAAUCUCAAAAAGCCGGUCUCAGUUCGGAUUGGGGUUUGCAACUUGACCCCAUGAAGUUGGAGUCGCUAGUAAUCGCAGAUCAAGCAUUGUUUGCGGUGAAUUACGUUUCCCGGACCUUGU